GACCUACGGGACGCAGCAGUAGGGAAUCUUCCACAAUGGGCGAAAGCCUGAUGGAGCAACGCCGCGUGAAGGAAGACGGUUUUCGGAUUGUAAACUUCUGUUCUUAGUGAAGAAGAAUGACGGUAGCUAAGGAGCAAGCCACGGCUAACUACGUGCCAGCAGCCGCGGUAAUACGUAGGUGACAAGCGUUGUCCGGAAUUACUGGGUGUAAAGGGAGCGCAGGCGGGAAGCCAAGUCAGCUGUGAAAACUACGGGCUUAACUUGUAGACUGCAGUUGAAACUGGUUUUCUUGAGUGAAGUAGAGG
rnacentral:rRNA from 1 species